rnacentral:rRNA from 1 species
UUUAUGGGGUGACUGCGUACCUUUUGUAUAAUGGGUCAGCGACUUAUAUUUUGUAGCAAGGUUAACCGAAUAGGGGAGCCGUAGGGAAACCGAGUCUUAACUGGGCGUCAAGUUGCAAGGUAUAGACCCGAAACCCGGUGAUCUAGCCAUGGGCAGGUUGAAGGUUGGGUAACACUAACUGGAGGACCGAACCGACUAAUGUUGAAAAAUUAGCGGAUGACUUGUGGCUGGGGGUGAAAGGCCAAUCAAACCGGGAGAUAGCUGGUUCUCCCCGAAAGCUAUUUAGGUAGCGCCUCGUGAACUCAUCUUCGGGGGUAGAGCACUGUUUCGACUAGGGGGUCAUCCCGACUUACCAACUCGAUGCAAACUACGAAUACCGAAGAAUGUUAUCACGGGAGACACACGGCGGGUGCUAACGUCCGUCGUGAAGAGGGAAACAACCCAGACCGCCAGCUAAGGUCCCAAAGUCAUAGUUAAGUGGGAAACGAUGUGGGAAGGCAUAGACAGCCAGGAUGUUGGCUUAGAAGCAGCCAUCAUUUAAAGAAAGCGUAAUAGCUCACUGGUCGAGUCGGCCUGCGCGGAAGAUGUAACGGGGCUAAACUAUGCACCGAAGCUGCGGCAGCGACACUUAGGUGUUGUUGGGUAGGGGAGCGUUCUGUAAGCCUGUGAAGGUGACCUGUGAGGGUUGCUGGAGGUAUCAGAAGUGCGAAUGCUGACAUAAGUAACGAUAAAGCGGGUGAAAAACCCGCUCGCCGGAAGACCAAGGGUUCCUGUCCAACGUUAAUCGGGGCAGGGUGAGUCGACCCCUAAGGCGAGGCCGAAAGGCGUAGUCGAUGGGAAACAGGUUAAUAUUCCUGUACUCGGUGUUACUGCGAAGGGGGGACGGAGAAGGCUAGGCUAUCCGGGCGACGGUUGUCCCGGUUUAAGCGUGUAGGGGGUGUGACUUGGUAAAUCCGGUCGCAUACUAACCCUGAGGCGUGAUGACGAGUCACUACGGUGAUGAAGUAGUUGAUGCCAAGCUUCCAGGAAAAGCCUCUAAGCUCUAGGUAACAUUGAAUCGUACCCCAAACCGACACAGGUGGUCAGGUAGAGAAUACCAAGGCGCUUGAGAGAACUCGGGUGAAGGAACUAGGCAAAAUGGUGCCGUAACUUCGGGAGAAGGCACGCUGGCGCGUAGGUGAAG